UGUUUCAGCGUGUGUCCGCGGG
rnacentral:miRNA from 1 species